AUCUUCCCUUUUAAGCUUUCAAUUCUCUGGCACAAGAAUGAAGAAAUCUGAAUCAGACCAACUGAAGCAAAGCCUUUUUUCUGCAGCCUUGUAAAAACAUAGGAGGGGUUUGCAGUAUGAGCUCUGUGUUAUGAGGAGUGACUUAAGACAAGCUUCACCAGUACUGGUCUCAGCACAGACUAAGGCACAGUCUUCAUAACCCAGCCUGUGGAGGAGAGACUGUGCACCAGCUCAUCUUCAAUGACUCAAAACAAGACAAGACAUGGAAAGACAAGCCUGGAGCUUAUGUAAAAAUUUCUCAGUUGCUCCAUGGAGAAAUUCCAUUGAGACAUCCUCAUUUUCAUCCAGCCACUGUAUGACAAAUGGUUCAAACCACCUGAAAAUCAAAAGCAAUUUUGCAAAGUAAAGUUGGUAGAUUUCAUAAAGAUCCCAAGAGGAGAAAUGUUAUAAUACCCAGCAGUUUGGCACCUUGUGUUUUCAGGUAUGUUUUACUUGCUAAAGAUUUCAACAACUCUGGAAAAAUUUUUGUCACCAAAGUGCUGCAGCUACCAAAAGGCUUUUCAGGCUUCAGUUUCACAAUAGUCUCACUGGUGUACCUUGGUGAUAUAAAAUUAGCAGUAGCCAAUUCUCUACCAGUGAAGCAUGGUAGAUAUCCACCUUCUAUCAAUAUUGGCUCUUUGGUAACAUUUAUUUUUAUUUGCAUAUAAAAUAACUUGUAUAUAACUUUGUUUUAGUAAAAAUCAGCUGUUUAAACCAUCUCUGCAAACCAGCAGACUUGCAAAAGAUUAAGGAUAGCUCCUAUACAAGGACAGGACUGAAUAUAUUUAUUGCAGGGAGACAGGUGAAAACAAAACCAGUAGCUGAGUAUGACCUGAUCCAGUAAGAAUUAUUUCAGUAGUACAUCCUGUUAGCAUUACAGCUUUAUCCAAAUUUGGUUAUAAAACAAAUGCAAAAUCACUUUCCUCAGAUGUUUUCUGACCAAAGCAUUUUGUCAUCUCUGAAGACCUGGAGUUACAACAACUGUAGAAACCUAUGAAAAAGCUGAUUGCAAAUUUAACACCAGGACUAUUUCACCUGAUAGAAUGAAUAAUUAAAGAGAAGGAAGUGCAAAAAGUAGUUGGUGCUACACACCUUGAGAUCUUGCACAAACCUGAGCAUAAAUAUUUGACCAAAAUAAACCUUGCAUGAAGCCCAGCCUCAUGGAAACCUCCCCAAAACACCACUUACAGAGAGUAUUCAGGCACUGCAUCCUUGAAAGCAGAGAGCUCUCGCACAUAUUCAUUAUAAAACCAUUUCACUUUGAAGUGCAAAUUCAUAUAAUCUGUGCUUUUGCAUAAUCGCUGCUUUUCGUGUUCUGUAAUAGAAGGAGUGGAAAUAAAAGCACUUAAUAGCCUUCUAACAGUAAAUAACAUUCUUGAGCCUCAGUGCACUGGUGACAUAAUAAUACAGGACUUGCAUUCUAAAGCAUAAUUGGUUUGAUUUUUCUCAAUGUAGUAAUAUCCACCAUUUCAAUUUUCAGGAUCUGAGUACCCUUAAGAAAAACAAAACAAACUAAAGACCAAUCCACAAAUGAGGCUUCUCCCCUCUCUUCAUUGCAGUGAGAAAAAACCCACAAAUUUGCUGACUUCCCCUUCUUUAGAUCCUUCUUUGGCUGUUACAAAAUGGUUAGGGAGCUUUUGUGUGGCAAGCUAGAAAAGACAACCAUAGCUGUGUAGAAGCCAGAGGAAGUAACAGCAAUAAAUGUCAGUCCUCCAGGAAACUGUGAAAGCUGCAUUUAUCAGAGCUAAGAAAAAGAAAGAGGAGAAAACUCCACAGCUCUACAGCCAUCUGAUUUAUGGCACAAGGUGAAAAGAUGGUUUUAUAAAGUGGUUUUGAAAUUUUUCAAAUGGACUUCACCUUCUCAGUGUCCUUGUGUUUUCCACAUACUGAAUAUGCAGAUGGAGGUGGGUGGCAGAAAUCAUGCAGCCACCUGUAACCACUUUCUGCAUUUUUAAAGACUGGUUUAAUUUGUUUGGAACAAAUGUCCAUCUUUCUUCCAGGAUUUUGAUCCUUGUUUUAGCUUGUACACUAUGCUCUGCAUUCUUCACCCAGCCACUGCAGACCUGGACAGCUCCAUUGCUUCUCUCUUUAUCCUUGCUCAAAUCUUUCAUUUCCUUCUCCCUCAGCAUGAAACCAGAGAUCCACAAGUUUUGGGCAGAAUAAUCAUACCUUUGUUUGCUGCUCACAGCUUCCUAAAAUCUCCACAAAUCUCAUCUGUUUGAAAUGUCAUGUCACUUGCACAUUCUUCCCUAAGCAAAAGAGUAAUUUCUUCUCCCAGCUCCCUUAAAAAAUGACCUACUACAGGCACUCAGCAGGAAUGAUGUUCUUGUGUAAAUACUAGGUAUUAAGAACUUACCAGCAGCAAACCUCCUUUUUGCUCCUUAUUUCUGCUUGCUUUGCAUUUUACAAAUCUCAUAUAUUUGGAUGGGAACCUAAUUUUCUGUAACAGCAGGAGCAUCCCAUCCUCUGUCACACACUUGAAUGCAGCAUUGGAUUCUCUGUCAGUGAACAUGCACUGUGAAUGACACAUUCUGUGUUUUCAGAUCUAGCCAGUUACAUCAGAAGGAAAUGUUUAGUUUUAUUAUUAUGCCAAAUCAGCACUCCAGUAGCACACCAUGCCAUCCAACAAGUGUUUCAGAUGCAUUUUAUUAUGCAGUGAGUUACUAAAUUUUGUGGAAAUCGGCUUAUGAAGUGCCCCUGUGGGCUUUAUUGCCUUUUUAGCAUUGCAGUAGCAUUUUCACCUUCACUGCCUUUCCAUCACACUCAAGAAAAAUCACUAAAUCAGUUUCUGUCUAAAUAUUGCAUUUAUUCAUCUUCAUGCUACUUGAGAGUACUACAAACUCUCCCCAGCACAGUAACAUCAUUGUUACUAGCAUUAAACAGGACCACAGAGGGAAAGAUCUUUCCUUCUGUCAUGGUUCUGAGGGAUUUUUUUUUUUAGGUAGCAGGUUUUUCACAAACUAGUACAGAAAGCUGGAUGACAUUUGCUCUAUUAAAGGUAUUCUUACAAGGUAGACCAACCUUUCACUGACAAAAAUGAUGUUAUUGCUAUGAAAUUCACUGCACAUCUGCUGCUUAAGUCAUUGCUAAAAUCUAUCCUAGAUUGCAUUCCAAAAGAAUGGAAUUUCUGAAAUGAAUAGCACUUUUUUUUUUCAUUCAAGCUUUUAACAAAUGGGUUGUUAUAUUAUACAGUGUAGCUUGAGAAUGUUUGCUAUAGCAUCACAAACCAAAGAAAUGAUUAUUUCAAUUUUAGAAAUGAGCUACUGCCACUAAUUGGCAAACUUGUCCAGGAGGGUGCAACUUACACAUACCAUUCACUAAUAUUUUCUUUCUAAGGUUAAGAUUUUUAACACAUUAAAAAUGGGCACAAAAGUAAUUCAGGAAUAACUGAACUUUUUUUCUGCAGGCUUUUUUGCCUUGUAGAAAAUAUCUGAAGUCUCUCAGGAUAUUACUUCUAGUUACAUAUAAGUGAAAAAUGCAUCCAGAAUGCCUGACAUUAAUGUAUGAGAACAUCAGCUGUUCUCUUCCAACAAUGUCUGUCCUAUUUGAUAGUAUUUCUAAGUCAACAUUUCUUAUCUCAACGUUUACAUACAAAUACAUACUAUGUGAGCCUUCUGUCAAGUUUUGAAAUUUUUCUACAAAUCUAUUUUCCACAAUCAGCAAACACCUCACAGGAUGUAUGAGGUCAAUAGUAUCCAUGCAUUUUACCCCUUCAGUUCAUAUAAACCAAAGAACCGAGCAAACAGGUGCCCAUGAGUCAGCAGUGACAAUUUUGACUGGAUAAUAGAUGGGUUUAUCCAUGGCAACCAUGGAUUUUGGUUGCAAAAUGCAGCAACAUCACUGUAGGUGUUCUGAAUUUAGAUUAGGACCAAUAGAUUGCUUCCUUAAUUUCUGAACAUCUUGCCCAAGCUAAUGCAAAUGUGAGCCAGCACAGGAUACCUGGAUGCAUUUUGGAAAUCUGUAUCUAUAUUCCUGGAGGCAAAGCUGGUGCCAUGUUUCCCCAUACAGACAUAUCCAUUUUGGGCUUUCUGGAAGACAGCUGUAGUAGCUGCACAAUAUAACUUUUUCUGCAAAACUCCACUCUUGCUUUGCAAAAUUAUUGUCCAACUGAGUCAGUCUGGAACUAAACCUGCCAGCUGUGUCCAGAUGUGCUCACUGGAGAGAUGAUAGCAGAAAUACCUGACCAUUCUCAUAACUGAUUUUAGGUAAGAGAAUCUCCAGUAUAGCAAACCUAAUGCUGAUAAUGGUUUUUUAUUUUGUGCUGCUCCUUUUCUGACACAUUCUUUGAAGUGCAGCAUAUUUUUAUAAGCAUCUACUCAUCUAAUAAGUUUCAUAAAGAGGUCAUGUUCAGUUCCCAUGCUGGCAUAUUGCAUAUCCCUGUGUCAUGCAGCAACAAAAAAUACUGAUAACAGUCUUGUAAGCUGUAACAUCUGUAAAUUUAGUUGUGUGUAUGGGGCACUGUAGCUGCUUUUAGGAAUUGCAGUUCCAGCAGGUGUAACUUUUUUACAUUGCUGAUGCCACUUAGGGUGGGUGGAAUAUCUCCUUAGGGGUGAUGCUGUAAUACACAUGUGCUUCUACAACAGGCACUGUAACUGCAACCACACUGAAAACUGGAAUUCACUGAAAACUCUAUGUUCCAUCUCACUGCUACAAAUCACAGAGAUGGGAACCCCCUUAAGCUUACCUCCAGUAAGCAACAGCACUGAAGGAAAAGAGAUAAAAUCUGCUGUAAUGUUAUUUAUGUACUCAAGAAUGAAGAGAGAUUGUUUUUAGAAGCUAUUACAGGGAAUGCAUUAAUAUAUGAAAAAGAACUUGGUGUGUGAUAAAAUCAGCCCUGACCUGGUGAUGCUGUAUCUGGCAUGUAAUUUAAUUGCAGGCAGCAGUUCUUUUUACAGAAAAAUUUAUAAAGAAACAUAACAGGAAGGAUUAUAAUCCAAGGUACUUUCCUCACAGGCCCUGACCAAACAACACUACUUUGGAAUCAUGCUUGAGUUUUUGUUCAUUUUUCCAGCAAUUGCUGAAGAAAGCUGAGAUGAUUUUCUUAAAACAACAAAUAAAAGUCAUAAUGAUGACUCACUAAGCAGAAAUAUCCACAUGACACUAAGGACAGUAUCAUUUAACAAACUGGAAUAGAAUCUUGCUCACUACAGAAUUCUUUUUUCUUUAUAACCUUGAGGUAAUAACAUCACUCUGAGUUUCCAUGUAAUUUUUGAUAUGUAUUAGUUGCUAAAAAAGGAAAAAAGGGUAAUCUAAAAACCUUCAUAAAAGAUGAACAUGUUAAAUAUUCAGAUAAUCAAAUUGAUAUUUUGUUCAACUCUGAUUUUCCUUAUUUGGGUACAAAGACUCAGAGCAAUUUUUUUUCUACAGCAGUUUCCAAGCCAAUAUUUUUAUAAAAACAUAUAGUUAAGCUGCUAGAAAGAUUCUAAUAAUAUAGUUUUGAAGUAUAUUUCAAAUCUUUGUGAACAAGAACUUCAAGGAAAUUAGUCUGUAAAAUUUAACAAACUGACUACAUAUACAUAAAUAGAUUUUUUUAAAAAAACCCAAACUUGUACAGUUUUCAGGCUUUAUAAAUAAUGUUUCAGGGAUUAAUAACUAUUAUAAAGAAUAUCUAUGCGUAGCAAAUUAUUUUCACACAACCAGCUUGUUUGACUGACAUAGAUUCUACUGCUCUACAGUUUAUUAAACAGAAAUGGUUGAGACUAAGCAUAUGGGAUUUGUGUUUGGAUUAGUUGCAAAUUUUCCCAUCAAAACUCAGCUGUUGUUCUCAACCAUUGUGACAUAAUUCCAUGUUUUUUGCAAUAAUUACCUACCAAUCUUUCUAGAGACUGCCAGCUGCUAUCUAUUACUUCCAGAACUGCUGUUUCAGAAAACCUGCUAUUUCCAAAUUUGCAGUCAUAUAAUUGGGAAGGGUAAUUGGGAACACAAAACUGAGUAUAGCUAGAGGAAGCAAAGCUCCAGUAAGGAAUGAUAGGGAUGGGGUAUGCAUUGGUAUUCCUCCCUCUAAAUCACUGUGGAAAUGUUAACCAAAUGAUGCACCUCUGCUUUGGAUAAAAGUAGAAGUUAAUGUUCAAUGCACCUGAUGCCAGUGCAAUUUCCCCACAAUACAGGAGCAGUUGCUAUGCCACAGCCUCUUUUAUGCUUAUAAUGCUCUAGAUUUAAUCUCUAUACUGCUGAAAGAAACCUGAAGCCUCUGAUUGUAUGAAUGUAACAGCAUACAGGCCACAAAUGAAGAAAAAAUUUAACUCAAAGUUUGUCACUGAUUUAGAAGAAAACAUUGCAUUCCACAAGGAUCUCAUCCCAGGAUUCUUGUACUUUGCUAAAGGCAAUGGAAGUCACUGGUUAUUAACUGAAAUAGACAGUGGAACACAACUAAUUGAUAAUUAUGUAUAAUUUGCAUUAAUUUUUAUAAUGUGAAAUACUACUGACCUUUCUGAAAGGACUCUUUGU